GGGUCAGUGAUGACAUCCAUAAUGUCAGGAAGAGAGGUGAUGACAUAAAAAUCAUGCUCAAUAUGAUUACGCUGAAGCCC
rnacentral:snoRNA from 1 species